GACGAACGCUGGCGGCGUGCCUAAUACAUGCCAGUUGAGCGCUGAAGGUUGGUACUUGUACCAACUGGAUGAGCAGCGAACGGGUGAGUAACGCGUGGGGAAUCUGCCUUUGAGCGGGGGACAACAUUUGGAAACGAAUGCUAAUACCGCAUAAAAACUUUAAACACAAGUUUUAAGUUUGAAAGAUGCAAUUGCAUCACUCAAAGAUGAUCCCGCGUUGUAUUAGCUAGUUGGUGAGGUAAAGGCUCACCAAGGCGAUGAUACAUAGCCGACCUGAGAGGGUGAUCGGCCACAUUGGGACUGAGACACGGCCCAAACUCCUACGGGAGGCAGCAGUAGGGAAUCUUCGGCAAUGGACGAAAGUCUGACCGAGCAACGCCGCGGGAGUGAAGAAGGGUUUCGGAUCGUAAAACUCUGUUGGCAGAGAAGAACGUUGGUGAGAGUGGAAAGCUCAUCAAGUGACGGUAACUACACAGAAAGGGACGGCUAACUACGUG
rnacentral:rRNA from 1 species